CAAUAGCGUAUAUUAAAGUUGUUGCAGUUAAAAAGCUCGUAGUUGGAUUUCUGGUUGAAGCGACCGGUCGGGCGUUGAUUCGUCUGCACUGGAGUCGGCUUUGGCCAUCCUCUAGGAAAGUGCGUCUGGUAUUAAGUUAUCGGGCGUAUGAUCCUGGUCUUUUACUGUGAAAAAAUUAGAGUGUUUAAAGCAGGCCUUCGCCUUGAAUACAUUAGCAUGGAAUAAUAAGAUAGGACUUUGGUCUAUUUUGUUGGUUUGCAGACCGAAGUAAUGAUUAAUAGGGAUAGUUGGGGGUAUUUAUAUUCCGAUGUCAGAGGUGAAAUUCUUAGAUUUUCGGAAGAUAAACUUAUGCGAAAGCAUUUACCAAGGAUGUUUNCAUUA
rnacentral:rRNA from 1 species